CACGUCUCCUGAAGGAAAAGGUCAGGAAGAAAGAAUGUGUUCCCAGAACUCAAACGAGCCCCAGGGAGGGCAGGGUCACCAAACUAGAAAAACAAAUCAGCCUGAAAUGCCAGGGACACCUGUGAGGGUCAGCGGGACCUUCAGAACUCGAACAAGUGGCUCCAGGCACACCUGCUCCCGGGCAUGACUACAAGUGUCCUGUGUGGGGGGCAGGCCGUCCCCCAUGGUCAGCAGGCAGAAGGCAGCUCGUGUAGCCCUCUGAUGGAACUUGGCUUCUCCUGCAGAAAAGAAGAUUCUCGAUAUACUCAUGGCAAAUUAGCACGAGAGUGACUGGUCAGUAAUACCAACAUAGCAUACAUUUUUUAGGAAAGACUCAACUGUGUAUGAGAUUAUGUAUGUUCAUAAAAUGAUGCGUGCGUGUGUGUAGAGACCAGACAGAAAGUCGUAGCUAAAAUAAAGAUGUGAGCAAACAGGAGCAGGGUCGCUCUUCCCGCAACCACCUCGCCCGAUCCCCGCCUCCCUGCCUCCCUGAAGCCCCGCGUCAUUGGCUUCCUAUCACUGACUUUCCAGCUCGUCAGCGUCCUGGUAAACGUACAAGAACUGAUCCUCUAAGCCCAGGUCUGGCGAGACUUUUGGUUGAUAUUUUCAUGUUAUAACAGCGGGUGGCAAGCUUCUUCUGUAAAGGGCCAGACCGUAAAUAUUCUAGGUUUUGCAGGGCACACGGUCCCAGUCACCCGCCAACAGCCACUGACACCAUGCAGGUGUUCCAGUAAAACCUCAGAAGCAAUUCCGGGAAGACAGUGGAGAAACAAUGAAGACGUGGGCAGGACCUUCACGCGUUUGUGCUGAGUUGCACCUGACCUCUCUGCUCAGGCAGACACUUGUUUUCAAAUACAAAAUAAGUGAAUAAAUAAAACGCAUGAAUGUCCCAUA
rnacentral:lncRNA from 1 species